GCCACUUGACUUUGCCUCGGUGGAUUCGGGGCCACUUGGGCUGGCGACCCACCGCCAUGUCCCCCUCCCGCCCUCCCAUGACUCUUGUUCAUUUUUUUUUCUUUUUGGACAUCUGGUAUCUGUCCUUAAGGGAGGGGCUCUGUCAUGUCUGUGUGAUCAUGUUUUUGUUUUGGUCAUGUUCGUUUUGGUUUUUGGACUUUUUGUGCACUUUUGUUUUGUCACCAUAGCAACCAUUAGUUGUCACCUGUCACGUCACGCACCUGUUUCAUGUUUUCAUGUCACACCGGUUUAUGUCUUGCUCUGACCAAGUAAGUUUCCAUGUCCAUGCCAUAGCUUCUGCUUAAGAUUAGCCUCACUUGCGUUUUAGGCACGCUUGCCUUUUUUUGUUGUUGUUGUUGUAUUGUUUAUGUUUGUGGUAGUGCGUGAUUUAUGUUAAUAAAUCCUAGCCUACCUUCACGCUGUUGUCCGGAGCCGUCUCUUUGCAUUGGAAGAACACCCACGCCGCGAGCUGCGACCCCCCCAUGUGACAAUAAUAAGAAAACAAUGUCAACUUCCCAAAGUUGGGUUAUGGAUAUUUAUUUAUGCCCCCCGCCGCUGUCAUCCAACAGAAUCAAACAAACAUGACAAAAGCACACAGAUUCAUCCACAUGCAGUACUCUGAUCAAGGAACCAAAUAAUGAUAUUGUUUGAACAUUUUGGAUUGUUUCUUUUUCAAAUGUAAUCUCCUUAAUACCUAGAGCCAGAUGAGGUGGUUCGGGCAUCUGGUCAGGAUGCCACCCGAACGCCUCCCUAGGGAGGUGUUUCGGGCACGUCCGACCGGUAGGAGGCCACGGGGAAGACCCAGGACACGUUGGGAAGACUAUGUCUCCCGGCUGGCCUGGGAACGCCUUGGGAUCCCCCAGGAGGAGCUGGACAAAGUGGCUGGGGAGAGGGAAGUCUGGGCUUCCCUGCUUAGGCUGCUGCCCCCGCGACCCGACCUCGGAUAAGCGGAAGAAGAUGGAUGGAUGGAAUAUUUUGUAUUGUGUGCUGUGAGAAAAAAUGUGGUGGCAGGGUCAGCCACGGACGCUGAGGUCACCAAACACGCCAUCAGGUGGUUCAACCUGGCGGCGGAUCGGGCAACCAGGAGACGAGUCCCGCCUCCACCUCCUCAGGAGGAAUAGAAAUGUAUCAAUUAAACAAUCUUUUAUUGAA